rnacentral:lncRNA from 1 species
AGGAACUUCAUCCCAGUCGCUAAGAGGGAACCUGACAUGGGCCGAGGAUAAAUCGACCUCUUCAAGGUAACGAGAAGUUCGGACCCCCAAGCUCGAGCACCGAGAGAAAGCGUCAAACUCAAAUGACCUCGAAAGAACCUACGGUCAUAAACCAAAGGGCAAAUCGACACUGCAACGACCGGGAACCCUCAAACAGCAUCGGCAUUGAACACGACGGA